ACUUCAUGAUGUGGACAUUCACGUAAUAAACCCCUAAACCUUUCCCAUGCCUCAUGAAAUUGUUCAUUAGGAUUUUGAGAAAAAGUAGUUAUCGCACGUCUCAUAGC
rfam:Beta vulgaris subsp. vulgaris contig92318.1, whole genome shotgun sequence.